GGUAUCCAUGAUCCUUGAAUCACAGAGCCAUUCUAGUCCCCAAAAGACUAUUUUUCACUACGAAUUUAACACGUAGAAAAUAUACAUCAAGAUUUCAAGAGCAUGUUAGCUUAUUGCUUGCAAAAUCGAUGCUACAUUAGUGCAAUCGCAGUGCAAGACUUUGGCUCACCUGAGGACUCACGCGCCUCUCUUUUGACCAAGCCAAUCCCUUCGUCUUGCACCACUUGGGCCCUCAGGAAGGGUAAAGAGUGCUUCCCGGGCCCCUAUCCAAACAAUGUUGCUGGGGCAGCAACUAACCACAAUGCUAGUAAUCUGAUGUCCAUUAUUAAAGUUGGCAUAAACUUUUGGCCCCAUAACAACUCAAGAUGCAUCGCAAGCUUUGCAUGCUCAAUUCCUCAAUGAGCCCCCACUACAGAGCAGGAUACAAUCUCUUAUUGCUUCCAAAACAUUCAUUCCUAUCCUCUAAUGGAAUACAGACACCAAGACCUCGAGACAAUACCCAGUGAUUGUCUCGUGGCCCCCCAUGCCCAAAAAUGUUGCUGGGGCAGCAACUAACCACAGUGCUAGCAUUCUGAUGUUCCACUAUUCAAAUUGUGUAUGGAUUUUGGCCCCACAACAACUCAAGACUUAUCCACAAGCUUUGCGUGCUC
rnacentral:rRNA from 1 species